CCUACGGGAGGCAGCAGUGGGGAAUUUUGGACAAUGGGCGCAAGCCUGAUCCAGCCAUGCCGCGUGUGGGAAGAAGGCCUUCGGGUUGUAAACCACUUUUGUCAGGGAAGAAACGGUCUGAACUAAUACUUUGGACUAAUGACGGUACCUGAAGAAUAAGCACCGGCUAACUACGUGCCAGCAGCCGCGGUAAUACGUAGGGUGCAAGCGUUAAUCGGAAUUACUGGGCGUAAAGCGUGCGCAGGCGGCUUUGCAAGACAGAUGUGAAAUCCCCGGGCUCAACCUGGGAACUGCAUUUGUGACUGCAUGGCUAGAGUACGGUAGAGGGGGAUGGAAUUCCGCGUGUAGCAGUGAAAUGCGUAGAUAUGCGGAGGAACACCGAUGGCGAAGGCAAUCCCCUGGACCUGUACUGACGCUCAUGCACGAAAGCGUGGGGAGCAAACAGGAUUAGAUACCCUGGUAGUCCACGCCCUAAACGAUGUCAACUGGUUGUUGGGAGGGUUUCUUNUCAGUAACGAAGCUAACGCGUGAAGUUGACCGCCUGGGGAGGACGGCGCGAGUUAGAAGUACGAAGUUAGUAAGUUGACGGCGNGAGACGNGCCGACGGACGACGACGAGGGAGGAGG
rnacentral:rRNA from 1 species